rnacentral:rRNA from 1 species
UACAGAGGUCUCAAGCGUUGUUCGGAUUCAUUGGGCGUAAAGGGUGCGUAGGCGGCGCGGUAAGUCGGGUGUGAAAUCUCGGAGCUUAACUCCGAAACUGCAUUCGAUACUGCCGUGCUUGAGGACUGGAGAGGAGACUGGAAUUUACGGUGUAGCGGUGAAAUGCGUAGAUAUCGUAAGGAAGACCAGUGGCGAAGGCGGCUCACUGGCCCGAUACUGACGCUGGAGGCACGAAAAGCGUGGGGGAGCAAACAGG